ACGCGGAGGGAUCAUUGCUGGAAACGCGCCCCAGGCGCACCCAGAAACCCUUUGUGAACUUAUACCUUUCUGGUGCCCCCGCCCCAGGCGGCCCCCCCCGGGGCCCCCCCGAAACCAAGAACCAGGCCCCCCGCCGGCCAAUUUACUCUUGGUUUUUCCCUGGAACUCUUAAAAAAAAACCCCAAUGAAUCAAAACUUUCAACAACGGAUCUCUUGGUUCUGGCAUCGAUGAAGAACGCAGCGAAAUGCGAUAAGUAAUGUGAAUUGCAGAAUUCAGUGAAUCAUCGAAUCUUUGAACGCACAUUGCGCCCUCUGGUAUUCCGGAGGGCAUGCCUGUUCGAGCGUCAUUUCAACCCUCAAGCCUUUGUUGGUGGUGGGGCCCUGGUUUUUACCCCGAAACCCGGCCCGAAAUCUCUUGGGGAGAUCUCCCCGGGCCCCAGCGCACUAUAUUAACCCCCUCUCUGGGAAGGGCCGGGGGGGCCCCGUCCCUUAACCCCCCAAUUUUUAAAAAUUUACCCCUGAUCUCGGGUGGAAACCCCCUCAAAUUUAACCUAUAA
rnacentral:misc_RNA from 1 species